UUGAAGUUGUGCCUAUGAAUUAUCACUGUCAAAACUGUGUAUUUAUGUAAUUAAAAAUAGAAAAAAUCUAAAUUAAAUUUAAAUUAUAUUUUUGUAGUAUAAAUUCACUGCCAUAUCUUUUACUAUAUAAAAUGGGAACGGUACAUGCUAAGGCUGAGCAUAAUGGUGAUAAUGGUUCUCUGGGUGGCCUAUUCGAGUUCGACGAACCCAUUGACUUGGAAGAGCCUUUGUCUAAACCAAAUAUAAAGUUGAAUGGUGUGCGGGCUCGCGUCGACCGUGUCCAUAUUGACGGCCUGAGCAGAACGAAAGAUGAUAUCGUACGGAGCACAGUGGAUGACUUGUUCCACGCGACUGAUUUCGAAGACGUUAUAUUGAGAGCUCAUAAAGUACGACGAGCUCUCGACUCCAUGGGAUGUUUUAAAGAUAUUGGAGUUUUUAUCGACGUUUCGAGCGGUCCAGGAGCGACUCCGGAAGGUUUAGAGGUAACUUUUCAAGUGAAGGAGCUCUCUCGUGUCGUCGGUGGUAUCAAUACAACUGUCAGUGAAAAUGAAGGAAAUCUCGUUCUGGGCGUAAAACUACCAAACGUGCUGGGUCGCGGGGAGAGGGUCGCGGCGGAGUACAGCGUGGGGCACCGCAGCUCGUCAAACUUCAACAUAUCCGCGAUGAAGCCAUACCCGCACAGUCCGCUCACCCCCGUUCUCUCGGCGACAGUGUACCAACAGAAUCACGAAUACCCAUGGUCGGGAUACAAGCUGCUGGACCGAGGUCUGCUAUUGGACGUCGCUUUUAGGACAUCCCCUGCGACGAAACAUAAUUUGCAAUGGGAGGGGAUCGUGCGCGACACUUCAGUUCUCAGCAAGUCGACGAGCUUCAAAGUACGGGAGAGCAGUGGUCCCCAAAUGAAAUCCGUCAUCCGCCACAUCGUGACGGUGGACCACCGCGACGAGGUCGUUUUCCCGACGCGCGGCACGUGGGUGCAGUUCACCAGCGAACUGGCGGGGCUCGGGGGCGGAGUUGCGAAUAUCCGCACGGAGUUGCAGGCGGAGGCUAACAAGGAGAUCGCACCUGGUGUUGUAGUUCAAGCAUCGGGAGCUCUAGGUGUACUCCACGAUGUGUACGGCACGGACAUACCCGAUCACUUCUAUCUGGGGGGCCCGGCGACAGUGCGCGGGUUCAGGCAGCGAGGCGUUGGGCCGCAUUCUGAUAACCACGCGCUGGGUGGAACGGCAUAUUGGGCAUCAGGAUUGCACGUAUACGCUCCCCUUCCCUUCCAACCAGGCAAGGGGGGCUUGGGGGAACUUUUCAGAUCACACUUGUUCCUAAAUGCCGGCUGUCUCGCAAAUCCCGAGGAGAGCGGCACGGCGCUGGAGGCGCUGCGCGAGGCGCGCGUGGCGUGCGGCGCGGGCGUGGCGCUGCGGCUGGGCGGCGCGGCGCGCGUGGAGCUCAACUACUGCGUGCCGCUGCGCGCGCGCGCCGGCGACGUGCCCGCGCCCGGCCUGCAGCUCGGCGUCGCCGCGCACUUCCUCUAGCGCCGCCCGCCAUCGGUGAGUUUGUUGGCGGUAUCGGGAUCACUCACGAUAAGUGGCCGUAAUCAACAUCGUCUGAAUAAUUUUAUUUUCCUAAUUGAUGUUCGUAUACGUUAUAUAGAUGAACAAAGAUGGCGCUGUGUUCAAUUUAAAACACCAAGUACAGUUUUGUUAAUAUUAAAUAAAUUAUUUUUAAACUAACAUAUUUAC